rfam:Triticum urartu cultivar G1812 contig532595, whole genome shotgun sequence.
GAUCUACUCCCUCCGUUCGGAAAUACUUGUCAUCAAAAUAAAUAAAAGGGGAUGUAUCUAGAUGUAUAUUAGUUCUAGGUAUAUCCCUGUUUAUCCAUUUUGAUGACAAGUAUUUUUGGACGGAGGGUGUAUUAU